UUUCCCAGAGUGCCCUGCGCUGUGAAGAAGCGGCUCCCGGGGACUAGGGGCAUUUUGUGUUGGUUGGAGCCCGAGUAACAAGAUGGCGGCGUCUGCAAAGUGACAGGGUCUCCCCGGGCUGGAGCCGGCGUAAUGGUGGCAGCGAUACCGCCGCCCUAACUCACCACGCCCUCAUUCCAGCCCGCGACGCUGCAGUGAAAGCGAGGCAGCGGUGGCCUCCCAGAAACAAGGAGCCUAACCUAAGUAACGACGAGAAACGCCUCACGGACUGCGGCCUGGCCAAAAUAACAAUAAUAAAGAGUGAGACUGAGCGACGGCGUUCGGGCUCCCUUAGGCCUGUUCUGGGCCCCCUAGCGCCGGGAAGGGCUUCCGUUUUCCGGUUCCUGCGCGCUCCUUCGCAGCCGAGCUCAGGGGACGAGCCCCAGAGGCCUCCGUCCUCCCUCAGGCGUCGGGGCUCGGCCCCGGGCUCCACCUUUGUCUCUCAGGAUGGCGAGCAGCAGCGGCUCCAAGGCCGAGUUCAUUGUAGGAGGGAAAUACAAACUGGUGCGGAAGAUCGGGUCUGGCUCCUUCGGGGACAUUUACCUGACAAUUAACAUCACCAACGGCGAGGAAGUGGCGGUGAAGCUAGAGUCUCAGAAGACCAGGCAUCCCCAGUUGCUGUACGAGAGCAAGCUCUAUAAGAUCCUCCAAGGUGGGGUCGGCAUCCCCCACAUACGGUGGUAUGGCCAGGAAAAAGACUAUAAUGUGCUAGUCAUGGAUCUUCUGGGACCUAGCCUUGAAGACCUCUUCAAUUUCUGUUCAAGAAGGUUCACAAUGAAAACUGUACUUAUGUUAGCUGACCAGAUGAUCAGUAGAAUUGAAUAUGUGCAUACAAAGAAUUUUAUACACAGAGACAUUAAGCCAAAUAACUUCCUAAUGGGUAUUGGGCGUCACUGUAAUAAGUUAUUCCUUAUUGAUUUUGGUUUGGCCAAAAAGUACAGAGACAACAGGACAAGACAACACAUACCAUACAGAGAAGAUAAAAACCUCACUGACACUGCCUGAUAUGCUAGCAUCAAUGCACAUCUUGGUAUUGAGCAGAGUCGUCGAGAUGACAUGGAAUCAUUAGGAUAUGUUUUGAUGUAUUUUAAUAGAACCAGCCUGCCAUGGCAAGGACUCAAGGCUGCAACAAAAAAAAACAAAAAUAUGAAAAGAUUAGUGAAAAGAAGAUGUCCACUCCAGUUGAAGUUUUAUGUAAGGGGUUUCCUGCAGAAUUUGCUAUGUACUUAAACUAUUGCAGUGGGCUGCGCUUUGAGGAAGCCCCGGAUUACAUGUACCCGAGGCAGCUAUUUCGCAUCCUUUUCAGGACCUUGAAUCACCAGUAUGACUACACAUUUGAUUGGACAAUGUUAAAGCAGAAAGCAGCGCAGCAGGCAGCCUCCUCCAGUGGGCAGGGUCAGCAGGCCCAAACCCCCACAGGUUUUUAAGCAUGAAUUGAAGAACAGAAGAAGCACAGCAGAUGAUCGGAGCAGCAUUUGUUUCUCCCCAAAUCUAGAAAUUUUAGUUCAUAUGUACACUAGCCAGUGGUUGUGGACAACCAUUUACUUGGUGUAAAGGACUUAAUUUCAGUUAUAAACUGGCUCUGGGCAGCAUUGCUGAUGCUUUGUCUGGAGUUGUAGCCGCUGUAAUUGUGAAUAUUAACUGAGAUAGUGAAACAUGGUGUCCGGUUUUUUAUUGCAUUUUUUUCAAGUGGAAAAGUUAACUAAAUGAUUCACACACACACACACACACACACACACACACACACACACACACAGAUUAAUUGGUGGAGAAAUUGUGCAUAUGCCAACUUUUUGUUAAAACUUUUAUUUUGAAAUAUCCUGUUUUGAGAUCUCAUUUCAGAAGAACGGCAUGAAGUCUUCAGCCACAGUUGUGAUGGUUGUAGAUGCUCACAAUUGUGCAUUCUUAGGGUUUUUCCAUCCCUGGGGUUUGCAAGUUGUUCACUUAAAACAUUCUUUAAAGUUGGCUUCUUGUUUGCAAGCCAGCUGAUAUGGUAGCAACCAAAGAUUCCAGUGUUUGAGCAUAUGAAAGACUGCCUGCUUACCUGUGCUAGAAAUAACAGCAUCUAAAGUGAAGACUUACAAAAAAUUUAGUGACUACUAGAUUAUCCUUAGGACUCUACAUUAACUCUGUAAUGUUCUUGGUAUUGAAA